rnacentral:tRNA from 1 species
AUUUAUUUAGUAUAUAAGUACAUUUGACUUCCAAUCAAAAAGAUUGAUUUACUCAAAAUAAAUA